rnacentral:rRNA from 1 species
ACGAACGCUGGCGGCGUGCUUAACACAUGCAAGUCGAACGCUGAAGCUCAGCUUUUGUUGGGUGGAUGAGUGGCGAACGGGUGAGUAACACGUGAGUAACCUGCCCCCUUCUUUGGGAUAACGCCCGGAAACGGGUGCUAAUACUGGAUAUUCACUGGUCUUCGCAUGGGGGUUGGUGGAAAGGGUUUUUCUGGUGGGGGAUGGGCUCGCGGCCUAUCAGCUUGUUGGUGGGGUGAUGGCCUACCAAGGCUUUGACGGGUAGCCGGCCUGAGAGGGUGACCGGUCACAUUGGGACUGAGAUACGGCCCAGACUCCGACGGGAGGCAGCAGUGGGGAAUAAUGCACAAUGGGCGCAAGCCUGAUGCAGCGACGCCGCGUGAGGGAUGGAGGCCUUCGGGUUGUGAACCUCUUUCGCUCAUGGUCAAGCCGCAACAAUGGUUGUGGUGAGGGUAGUGGGUAAAGAAGCGCCGGCUAACUACGUG